GUCUGCAUUUAUCAUUCUGUCUUUUCCUCUGCCCAAGACCACUAAAAAGUAAAAGCAAAUCCCCUCAAAUCUUUUGCUUCUCUGAUUAGUUUUACAACCUGCAUUUCUUCUUUCAUUUCAAUCAUCACUCACUCAUGCCGAAAAUCAAAAUCUUAUCUUCUUUCCCUUUGCUCUGAAUAACCAAGACGAUUUGGUUCCUGUUCUUCGCAUAACGCUUUUAAGGUCUCUCCCUCCAGGUAUUGUUCCUCUCCCUUCUUGAGUGUUUCUUUUGCUAUUCUGUGUGCUUCGAUAUUUCCAGUCCUUGGUAUGAAGUAGAAACUAAUAUUUUGAAAGAAACCUUUUAAACCUUGAAUAUAACUGAUGAUUGCUCCUAUUUCUGAUCUGUCACGAUUUUCACUUUGGCAUUUUGUUGUAACUGUUUUUGAAUCUCCUAGUAUGUCUAAAGUAUGAUAUCCCAAUUGAAUCCCUAACAUUAUUGCUUGAUAUCCUACGUAUGCUUCCGCCGCAAAUGGAGAUGCAACAUUUUCAUGAAGGAUCGACUUUGCAACCACGAUUUUACCCUCCUGUUCCUUAACAAUUAGGCCUGACGCAGAUCUGUUAUAUUGUGAGUCAAAAGCCGCAUCGAAAAAGAUGGCCGUAUUCGCUCUUUGUAGCCUCUGACUAGGCCUUGUACUGGUUACUAAGAAAUUUAUUUCUACUUGUCCAGAUUAUCUAUAGCCCACAGCAGAAUCCUCUACACUGUUCAUUUGUUCCUUCGCUGAAAACCCAGGGCACCUUUGAAUGACAUGGUUGCUAUCUUCUACUUCCUGUCCACAUUUCAGACAUCGAUCCUCUAUCAUUACUUUUCUCAGCUUUAGAUUGGAGAAAGUUGGAAUGUAAUUCCUCGCAAUUUUCUACACUGUUAUCUUAAUUUUUGAAGACAAAUUUAGAUUCCAUAAUUUUCUGUAAAAUUUUUUUGUAUGGGUCUGUAAAUAAGCAUUAGGAUCUGUAGUAGACUCUUGUAAUAUUUUAUAGGCGCUUCUUACUGAUAAGACUCCAGUCGCCUCCCCUCUCCAGACUUGAAUGUCUUCUUGGCUUGACUUUGAAAGCGAAAUCUGCAUUAUCUUCUUCGUAAUAUCCGUAUUAAAGCGAUCAUUCCAUACU